GGAGAAUUUAUGCAACAUGAGAUGCACCUGAAGUUAAAAUCGAACACUCCUACAUGGGUUAAAACCACACACGCGCUGAAUCUGCCUCCUGUCAAUAAAUGCUCUGCUUCAACUGCCAAUCUGCUGACUGCGUCUCAUUCCAUGCUGACACCAAUGGAGUCGACUCUCCAGUGUUUCCUUCGCAUGCAGAAUGGAAAGAUUUUUGUGGGCACAGCUCAAGAUUUCUCACACACAAGACAGAAUGCAUGGAAAAAAUCCAUCAAGCCAUGUAUGUUUUCCUACUUGUUGACGGGCUAUUGUGGCAAGGCCAGGGCUGAAAGUAAAGAGAGAAAAAUACAGAGAGGGAUUUAU